rnacentral:rRNA from 1 species
CAUCCAAAACUAUUUAGCUAGAGUGUGGGAGAGGAAGAUGGAAUUAGUUGUGUAGGGGUAAAAUCCGUAGAGAUAACUAGGAAUACCAAAAGCGAAGGCAAUCUUCUGGAACACUACUGACGCUGAGGCGCGAAGGCGUGGGGAGCAAACAGGAUUAGAUACCCUGGUAGUCCACGCAGUAAACGAUGAAUGUUAGUCGUCGGGGGCCUAGUGUCUUCGGUGAUGCAGCUAACGCAUUAAACAUUCCGCCUGGGGAGUACGGUCGCAAGAUUAAAACUCAAAGGAAUAGACGGGGACCCGCACAAGUGGUGGAGCAUGUGGUUUAAUUCGAAGAUACGCGAAGAACCUUACCUAGCCUUGACAUAUUUUAGAACUCCGUAGAGAUACAGAGGUGCCUUCGGGAGCUAAUUUACAGGUGCUGCACGGCUGUCGUCAGCUCGUGUCGUGAGAUGUUGGGUUAAGUCCCGCAACGAGCGCAACCCUCGUCACUAGUUACUAACGGUUCGGCCGAGGACUCUAGUGAGACUGCCUUCGUAAGGAGGAGGAAGGUGAGGACGACGUCAAGUCAUCAUGGCCCUUACGGCUAGGGCAACACACGUGCUACAAUGGCCAGGACAGUGAGACGCGAUACCGCGAGGUGGAGCAAAUCUAUAAACCUGGUCUCAGUUCGGAUUGUAGUCUGCAACUCGACUACAUGAAGCUGGAAUCACUAGUAAUCGUAGAUCAGCUAUGCUACGGUGAAUACGUUCCCGGGUCUUGUACUCACCGCCCGUCACACCAUGGGAGUUGAUUUCACCCGAAGCGGGGAAGCUAAACUGGCUACCCUCCACGG